UAUUUGCAUAGAGGACGUGACUUAUUCCGGAUGUUGUCGCUGCCUACUAUUGUGUUGAUUUUAGUCUGUUUUGUUCAGUCUGUUCCAUUUCCGGAAUAUAAACGGGAAAAGAUGUAUAAUUUCCCUGCAGUGCAAUAAUGGCGGGCAAUGAGGAUGGGAGGAUUGAAGACUCGUAUACAUCAUCUGUUGAAUUCACGCGUUUUUGUAACGCGACGCAAUCUGUCGAUAGCGUGACGUCUAAUUCAUUUGAAUCCGAUAUGCACGACUUCAAUGAAAAGGUCAAUAAAAACUAGACAAUCGGAACUUUCACUUGUUUCUUUUCUAGGUCGUCGUUGUCAAGUACAUGCUGCCAUAACGUCUGUUGUCAUGGCAACGUGAAAUCAAUCGAAUCGGCAGCACCAGCCAUCAGCUUACUUUGGUUUCUUUCAGCCGCAGGGCACAAUGCCUCUAGACUUCAGAACACGACGGCCCCAAACAAAACACACAAAAUCCUGGUGAAACCGGGCACAAACUCAAUCGAAUUUCCCGUCAAAUUCAACCAGCCAAACAAUGUCGAUUAUAUGUUAUCUGAUAACACUCACGGAUGAACGAGUCGAUGCUGUUGACGGACCAGAUUGUUGUUUAGGUCAUCCGGUGGUUCGUUGGGAGCCAAUAAGUAUCGACCGGAUGGCGGAACGGCCCCGUCGUCAUCCUGUGUCAACGUUAACGUCACCAGCGACGACGCCAUUAGGACGGCCUUCAAAUGAAACAACACCAACACACUGAAGCAAUUCCUCAGCCUCAUUUCUUUCUCUUUUAGCUACUGGGUUUCCCACUUUUUUCUGAAAUUUAAUGAAUCGUCUGCAACACAAGUGCCCGAUUAGCUAUUUUUUGUUUGGAAGAAAAGGUCGAGUUUAUUUCAUUGUCGUCUGCUGUUUACGCCAAACCAAACACUUGGACUCAAACCAAAAAAGCAAAUGAACAACAGCUAGAGCACAAUAUCGACCAAUACGAUCAAUAAACAACUUUUCUUGCCAUUUAAAACAUUAAUGAAACAAGGCAAUCACGUUAUGCACAGCGUGAGCGCGGCCCUCCUCGUCCGUUUGCCGACUGUCAGCUCGAUGAGCUCCGGUUGUCUGUCGUUCAAGGUAUUCCACUUGUUUUGCAUCGAGCGGCUGCGCCCGCGGUCACCUCACCAACCCAACUCCCCUCACUCCCGAGACCUGGCCAACAAAAGGUGGGAGGGGCUGAUGAUGGCAGUCCCCCCCCCCAUCCAAAUUCGCUUUUGAAAUCCAUUUUGCAGCCAGUCGCAGUUGUUGUUUAUCUUGUUGCAUUGCAGCUGGUCCGCACACCUGUAUAUCAACCCCAUUCGCGUUCGUAAUGCAAAGUGACACUGCUCGAUACCGGGUAGGGG